rnacentral:rRNA from 1 species
CCCGGCACAAGCGGUGGAGCAUGUGGUUUAAUUCGAUGAUACGCGAGGAACCUUACCUGGGCUCAAAUGUAUGUUGACGUAUUCUGAAAGGGAUACUUCUUUCGGACAAUAUACAAGGUGCUGCAUGGUUGUCGUCAGCUCGUGCCGUGAGGUGUCGGGUUAAGUCCCAUAACGAGCGCAACCCUUGCCUUUAGUUGCCAGCAGUUCGGCUGGGCACUCUAAAGGGACUGCCGGUGUUAAACCGGAGGAAGGUGGGGAUGACGUCAAGUCCUCAUGGCCUUUAUGACCAGGGCUACACACGUACUACAAUGGCCGAUACAAAGGGCAGCGACACUGCGAGGUGAAGCCAAUCCCGUAAAAUCGGUCUCAGUCCGGAUUGGAGUCUGCAACUCGACUCCAUGAAGUUGGAAUCGCUAGUAAUCGUGGAUCAGCAUGCCACGGUGAAUACGUUCCCGGGCCUU